AGCAAGUAAUACAUAAACACCUGUUGCACAUGACUCACGCUGGCUUUCCUUAAACUUGUGAAUGAAAGUCAGUGACGAUCGCUCGUUUCGUUUUCUGUUUCAGGUGGAUUCGAAACUACUUUAGUAUUAACCUCUGCGAGAAAGAAAAACCAACGACAAAGCAAUCUUCGUUCUCCAAGCUGAAAAUGGGCCAGAAAUUAUUUGCUGGACUAUAUGAACCUGCUCCUUCACUUGCCUGCAACGCACCAUCGAAGUGUGCAGGGAGAUAAAUCAAGAAAAUAUCAUUAGCUUUACAUAACUGAAUAGGAUGUGGGCUGCAAUAUCAGUAAAUGAUCACCAGUGGGCUGCCAUCUCCACCUGAAUGCAUGAAAUUCCUAGUGUGGGUCUUCGUUAGUUAAAUUGGAGCUGUACAUUUGUUUCAUGUUACAGGAAAUCCCCACAGGUGUGGUGAUAUUAU